GAUGAACGCUGGCGGCGUGCCUAAUACAUGCAAGUCGAGCGAACAGACGAGGAGCUUGCUCCUCUGACGUUAGCGGCGGACGGGUGAGUAACACGUGGAUAACCUACCUAUAAGACUGGGAUAACUUCGGGAAACCGGAGCUAAUACCGGAUAAUAUAUUGAACCGCAUGGUUCAAUAGUGAAAGAUGGUUUUGCUGUCACUUAUAGAUGGAUCCGCGCCGCAUUAGCUAGUUGGUAAGGUAACGGCUUACCAAGGCGACGAUGCGUAGCCGACCUGAGAGGGUGAUCGGCCACACUGGAACUGAGACACGGUCCAGACUCCUACGGGAGGCAGCAGUAGGGAAUCUUCCGCAAUGGGCGAAAGCCUGACGGAGCAACGCCGCGUGAGUGAUGAAGGUCUUCGGAUCGUAAAACUCUGUUAUUAGGGAAGAACAAAUGUGUAAGUAACUAUGCACGUCUUGACGGUACCUAAUCAGAGAGCCACGGCUAACUACGUG
rnacentral:rRNA from 1 species